ensembl:snoRNA small nucleolar RNA SNORA20
CUUCCCAUUGAUUGCUGCUCUAGUCUUUUAGUGAUAUAAGCAGUUAUAUACAUGAGAGAGAACAGUAUUAGGGUGUUGCAAAGGGAGAUGGGAGUAACCAUUUCAUCUCUUCUGUGAAGUCCAGACAUUG